AUGAACGCUGGCGGCGUGCCUAAUACCUGCAAGUCGAGCGCACAGAUGAGGAGCUUGCUCCUCUGACGUUAGCGGCGGACGGGUGAGUAACACGUGGAUAACCUACCUAUAAGACUGGGAUAACUUCGGGAACCGGAGCUAAUACCGGAUAAUAUAUUGAACCGCAUGGUUCAAUAGUGAAAGACGGUUUUGCUGUCACUUAUAGAUGGAUCCGCGCCGCAUUAGCUAGUUGGUAAGGUAACGGCUUACCAAGGCAACGAUGCGUAGCCGACCUGAGAGGGUGAUCGGCCACACUGGAACUGAGACACGGUCCAGACUCCUACGGGAGGCAGCAGUAGGGAAUCUUCCGCAAUGGGCGAAAGCCUGACGGAGCAACGCCGCGUGAGUGAUGAAGGUCUUCGGAUCGUAAAACUCUGUUAUUAGGGAAGAACAAAUGUGUAAGUAACUAUGCACGUCUUGACGGUACCUAAUCAGAAAGCCACGGCUAACUACGUG
rnacentral:rRNA from 1 species